GCCCGCCUAGCUCAAUCGGAUAGAGCGUCAGACUUUUACAAUUGGUCCAAGGGUCAUCUGAAGGCUGCGAGUUCGACCCUCGCGGUGGGCU